GGGGGGGAAUUUCCUGGGGGGGGGACCUUUUUAAAAAUUUUAUCUUGCCCCCCUCAAAAUUUGAGUUUGCCCCUCAAAUGCCCCCCCCAAAUUUGGAAGCCUGGCGCCGCCACUGAACAUACUUGUCUUCCACACAACUUCAACAAAUUGAUGGUAAGAACAAUUUCCACAGUGGACGUAUAUACAAGCACAUGGUUCAAAACAUUUGUUAUAAUCAUUUGCGGUCUAGACUAUAGUUAGUUUUUUGUAAUAUAUUGACAUUGUUGUAUAAAAUGUAAUGCACUAGCUGAAAAUAAACCUUUCUAAACGA